AAUCGUACAUCGAGCGUUUUACAUAUCUAUGUAUGUAGGUGUACUGAAAUAAUCCACUGCAUUGAUACUUUACGUAUCAACAUUUUCCUGUUACGCCUGAAUAAAUGCUCCGAAAGGAGCGAUUGGAAAACAAAAUUUAUUGUGGUUGAUGCAACCAUCAUUAAAAUUGUUGAAUCGAAAUGACUACACUAAUUCAAGCCCUUUUGAUAAUGGAUACAAAUGUGAAUUUAGGAUUUGAAGUUUUUAAUAGUAGUUCAUAUAAAAUGCAUAAUAUAGAUAAAUAGGUUUAAUUAGCAUAAAUAGGUUUAUAAUAAUAGAUUUUCCGUUGCAUACAUUUUUUUAUACUUAAGAAAAAAAUUCAACCCAUAGAGGGUUAAAUUAGUUAGAAACACCGAUAUAUGGAACAGUAGUAUAAAACAAUAAUAAUAAAGACUUCCAAUUGUAAUAAAA